UACGGAGGGAGCUAGCGUUGUUCGGAAUUACUGGGCGUAAAGCGCGCGUAGGCGGCUUUGUAAGUUAGAGGUGAAAGCCCGGAGCUCAACUCCGGAAUGCCUUUAAGACUGCAUCGCUAGAAUCAUGGAGAGGUGAGUGGAAUUCCGAGUGUAGAGGUGAAAUUCGUAGAUAUUCGGAAGAACACCAGUGGCGAAGGCGGCUGACUGGUCCGGUUCUGACGCUGAGGCGCGAAAGCGUGGGGAGCCGAACGAGG
rnacentral:rRNA from 1 species